GCCUGGCCGCGCGCGCUCCGGGGGCGCGCCGGGUGCCCGCCGGCGGCCGUGAGUCCUGCCGGCGGCGCUCGGGUCCUCCAGCCCGCGCAAGCUUCUAACCCGAACGGCUUGGGUCCGCACGGCCCGGCGGACGGGUCCGCCCUGGGCAGGCUGAGGUGUGGCGGGCAGCCGGGCGGCGCGGCGUCCUGACGGGCGGGGCGGGCCCGGAGCUGCCUGCCGAGCCGGGUGGACAGGUGGGCGUGGGCAGCGCGGCCGGCGGAACUGGCUGGCCAUCCCGCCGCGGCCCUGACCCCUGGGGUGCACUGGCUGCUUGGGGUCAAAUCCAAGCUGACCUUUCUCCGGAGGAAAGAUAAAUUAUUAUGGUUGUGGGUGAGCGUCAGUGCAAAUGUUUUCAGAGUCCUCCUCCUCCUCCGGCUCCGGGUGCUGUUUGAAUCCCCCGCAUUCCUCAGCCCUGGGCAGGGAGCGGCAGCGGCCUUUGUGUCUCCCGGGAGCGCAUGCCACCUCGGGAGGAGACAGCGGACCAGAGUUAAAGAGCAGGGAGAGACAUUAGCUGUGAAGAUAUGUUUUCUCUCUACCAGUUGGAUUUCGUCUUUCGUAGGAGAGAAGAGCAUCUGUCCUCCAGGCUUUGUCUGCUCUGCGGCUGCACUAGCACAGCAAAGCCACAUAAGGAGGCUUUUCAGCAGAGGAGCUUGGUGUUGAACUCAUGCCAUGGGGAAUGAAUUCUUCAAUAGACCCUUCGUCCUCUUCUGGAAGUUAAAGAGAGGCGAUUUGCAGAAAAGCAUAUGUGUGUGCAUGCAUCUCCCUGUCCUGGUAUUCUGUUCCUUUGUGCCUUUCAGUUCCCAUGCUUCUGUGUGGACUCGUUUUCAUUGUGAUGAGAUAGAUCCCCAGUGGCAGUGCAGCUCAGGACCCUCGCUAGCCUGCACACAACGUAGUUCCCACUGAUCCCAGCAGUGGGAACUGAUUUUGACAGUGGAGAGCUUUAUUCCUGCUGAACAAUGACUGGCUCUUCCAGAAUUAGUUUGGGAAGCUACCAGUGAGGUAGCUGUAUUGCUAAAGGGAAAUUCAGUGUUGCUAGAAAUCAGGUAUGGACUCUGUAGAGUUGCUCUUUAUGGGGGGAAAUGUGUGUGUAGAGAAGCCACCUACAAGGCAGGGUUUACAGACGGCUCUAAGUCACUCAGUUACCUUUGGUUUCCAGUUUACUUUACAGCUCCAUCUGUAUCAUCUUGAGCAGUGAAUCAGUUCCCAAACUAAGUCAUAGUAAGUCAUUAGUUUAUUGAUAAGGGCUUAAAAGUAAUUUGAAAUAUACGCAAUACCUGCGAUCCUCACAGUCACAAAUGCUCUAAGAAUUAGGUUGAACCAUUCCUCCACCAACUGUCAUUGUUUGAGACACAAAGGUAAGUGCGGAGUGGUCGCCCAGGCCUGUGUUCCAAGAAUGCAGAGGUAGGAGCAGGAAGAUCUGGAAUUCAAGGUCAAUCUUGGUAGUAAAAUACAAGUUCAAGAAAAAGAGAAAGCCACCAAAAUAAUGUUCUGAGUCAUGUGUUGUGAUACCCCAUAGAAGAAUAGAAAGAUGCUGGGCGGUGGUGGUGCACGCCUUUAAUCCCAGCACUCGGGAGGCAGAGAUAGGUGGAUCUCUGUGAGUUCGAGGCCAGCCUGGUCUACAGAGCUAGUCCAGGACAGACUCCAAAGCUACAGAGAAACCCUGUCUCGAAAAACCACAAAAAAAAAAAAAAGAAAAGAAUAGAAAGACAUAGGCAGUCAGGA